rnacentral:lncRNA from 1 species
AACGCUCGUGAGGCCAAGAAAACACACAUGCAAGCACGUUGUCCAAAUAACAAUCCCAAUAUUCAAGUAAUUUACAAUUCAAGCGAGAAAAAAAUAAACAGAAACAAUUCAAGGAUAUAGGAGCUCUCAGGAGCUAUUUUCCUCUUGCUUCGCCACGGCUCGAUCCGAUACCCCCUCGUGAUGACACUCCGUUAUCCGGGUGGGUAUUUUAUCCGUAGAAACUUCACUUAUUACUUCCUCCGACCAACAUUCCACCCUCUCGGAUCCGAAACCAAACACGCACGAAAAAAAGGUAAUACUCGUCGAGUAUGCCACACGAGAUCUCAAGAGAUCAAGUUUUGAUUUUUGAACACGCACGGAAAGGGCGAUACUCCACGAGUAUGCCGAACAAGAUCUCAAAAGAUCAAGUUGUGUUUUGUUAUUCUCUUGGUUUAUCAAACUUCUCGACCAAGCCCAUGCCGGCUCGAGUUGUAAGAUUGGUUAAGAGAAUUGGGCGUCCCCAUAAGUCGAGGAGGUUCACUCCACCCGACAACAAGACACGCACGACAUACACG